rnacentral:tRNA from 1 species
AAGUAUGAAGCGAUCAAUUGCAAUUAGUUUCGACCUAAUCUUAGGUAAAAAAUACCCUUACUUU